UGGGGAAUAUUGGGCAAUGGGCGAAAGCCUGACCCAGCAACGCCGCGUGAAGGAAGAAGGCCUUCGGGUUGUAAACUUCUUUUAUGAGGGACGAAAAAAAUGACGGUACCUCAUGAAUAAGCCACGGCUAACUACGUGCCAGCAGCCGCGGUAAUACGUAGGUGGCAAGCGUUAUCCGGAUUUACUGGGUGUAAAGGGCGCGUAGGCGGGAAUACAAGUCAGAUGUGAAAUCUCCGGGCUUAACCCGGAAACUGCAUUUGAAACUGUAUUUCUUGAGUGUCGGAGAGGUAGAUGGAAUUCCUAGUGUAGCGGUGAAAUGCGUAGAUAUUAGGAGGAACACCAGUGGCGAAGGCGAUCUACUGGACGAUAACUGACGCUGAGGCGCGAAAGCGUGGGGAGCAAACAGG
rnacentral:rRNA from 2 species